UGAAAGAUGCAAAAAGGAGUAAAUUGGAGGUAAUUGGCAGAUUUGACCCUCAGUCGAUAUUUUGUGCAGAGCGUGAGCUCUAAAAGUCGAAACGAAGUGAUUCCAGUGGCAUUAGAAAGCUAACAUCCAUACAUUUUUGGAAAUCUAAGUCAAGAAAAAUAAAAAUACAAAGAGCAUGGAAAUAACAUCCUUCAAAGUCAAAACUCGCAUUCUGCCAGUGUUGACCUUUGUCUAUUAAAAAUUCAAUAUCUGGAUCUGUAGAUAUCAAAUUGAUGCAAACUCAAUUGAUUUGGAUUUCUGACUCAAAUGCCUACAAACGCUCCAAAUGUCAGCGAAAAACGAUGUCAUAUGAGGGAGAUAUGAGUUUUCAAAGAUGACAACUGAAUUCUGCCGGCAAUCAGGUUUCGUGAAGAAACGAAUCCAAAUUACAUCCCGAAGCAUCAAAACCGACAUCCAAGUUUUAAUUUCAGCAAUUUAGCUCCUCAAGUAAAUCAAUCCAGAAGGUCAAGGAAGGCAGCCACCAACCUCAAACCACCAACCACAAACCAGCUGCCAACCACCAGCCACCAGCCACCAACCACCAGCCACCAGCUGCCUUCACACUACCACCAUCUCUUGAUGUUCACACUUGAACUUUGAUUUUUCUUACUUACAAUUUGUGUAUAAAUAGGCAGCUAAGUUCAUGAUAUUAAGAGAGCCAAGAGAGAGGGAGAGGGAGUGCAGUAGAAUCAAAGAAAGAAGGGUGGCAGCCAUAAGAGAAGAAACACAAACUCUCCCCUCUACAAAUCAGAAAUCAUGCUUUCUUUCAUCUUUAGGAGUAGUUUUUCAAUAGAUAUGCAAGGCUAAGCUUGUUUUCUUGGUUGCAAGGACGCAAACACCUUCAGAUUUCAAGAACUGUGAGAUUUAUUCUUCCAUUUAUUUUCAGUUUGUAUUAUGAAUGAGUAUGUUUGUUUUCCUAUGCAUAUUUCCUAUGAUUGUUUAUCUUAAUUGCUAAGAGCGGACUCUAAGUUAUUAUUGUGAACAAUCUAUUGCUAAGUUUGAUAUCAAAACCGGAGUUGUGGUAUAUAAACUUGUGAAGCAACUAAGCUUGAUAAUUGUAGCGGAACUACGUUAUUAAACUUAGGGAGAACAUUCGAUCAAAGCAACACAAGCUGACAACUUGGUUGUUAAGAUUAAUGAAUUUAUCUAGAUCUUAAGGCUGUCAUUGGAUUAAAUCAUUAGUGCGGACACUGUGAUUAUUUGUUGGUUAGGGUUAGUUAUACGGCGGAUCCGUUAAUUAACCAAUGUUAAGAAAAGAUAAAAAUUCAGAAUAUAAGUUGAAGUUUCGUUUCAAGGAUCGGUUCUGAUUUCUGUAGGUGGAUGUGUGCUUGCAACCAAGGUUUGGUUUGUUUUCUUGAUAUAUUUCAGUUUUAAUUGAUUUUGUUUGCUAGUUUAAUUUCUUCCAUAGUUUAGAUCAUCACAAAUCAAAACUCCCCAAUUACAUAACAUAUAGCGUAAAAAUCUAAACUAAACCUUCCUCGUGGGAUCGACCCCUUGCUUGCGCUAUACUAUCUUGUGUGUUUUAAGCUAGGGUAAUUAAUUUGUGCGACAGCGACAUCGCAACAGUUGUGAUUCUAGGGUUCUUGAAAAUAUGUAGGAAAUAAGAGUUUCUUUGAACAUGGAGUAAUGAUAAUUGAUGUUGUGAUGCUUGAAAACACUUAGUGUGUUUGUCAAAUUUAUCUCUUAUGUAAUUAAAAUUCUGACAGUCUUACUAGCCAACCUCUAGUCGCAAUUACAACUUGAAAACAAUGUAAUUUAGAGUUGGUGUCUUUAUAAAAGUUGUAGGUAUGGAUAUUAUCUUGUAAGUGGAACUAGCUCAACUUAUUUGGAGCUGUAGAACUCCAAAUAUGAGAAAAACACUGAGUAAAGGUCCAGAUCGACAUAAUACUGGAUAGAUUUUGGGUGCUACUAUAACUAUUAAUGUUGAGCCUUAAAACGAUGUACUUUGGAGUUGGUGUCUUUAUACAAGUUGUAGGUAUGGAUGUUAUCUUUUAAAUGGAACUAGUCUCGACUUAUUUGGAGUUGUAUAACUCCUGAUAUGAGAAACACACUAAGUAAAGGUCCAGACCAACAUAGUACUUGAUAGUUUUUGUGUUACUAUAAUGGUUUAUUUUGAGCCUUAAAAAAAUAUAAUUUGAAGCUGAUGGCUUUAUAACAGUUGCAGGUAUGGAUGUUUACUUUCAAAUAGAACCAGUAGCGACUUAUUUGGAGUUGUAUAACUUCAAAUAUGAGAAAAACACUGACUAAGGGUCCAGACUGACAUAGUACUGGACAUAUUUCUUAUGCUAAUGUAAUGAGUUUAGACAUGUAGAUGGCAAAACUGGGUGUUGUGUCCUUCAUGAAAGUUGUAACCCUAUGUAUUAGCUUUCCAUAAAGACAAACCAUGCUUGAAAAAAAGUUCUAAAACUUUAGUUACGAUUAAAACACCGAACAAUGUUUGGGGUUGGGUGGACUAAACCAAUUAGGACUACUCAAGCUCUAAUCUUUACUUGGAAUUUGUUGUUGAUUAAAGGUUCUAACACUUGGAAUGAUGUAGUAAAAAAAUUGAUGAAAUGAACACUUAAUGUUAAUACCCAUGUUUCGGCCUAAAGAAAUUUAGAUGGGAGAAUCCUUGAGAAUGUACAUGUUGAACUUGAUUGUGUACUACUUGACAACAUUGUGAUGAACUUGAUGAGGUUAUAGAAAAGAAUAUGAUCCUUGAACAUAUUUAGUAGUACUUUGUAAUUGGAAUGCGUAGAAAACCUUAUGUCACGCGAUAAUGAAUGAGAAUUUGAUGUUGCCAUAUGAAAAACAUAAAAAUAUGCUUGUUAGGGGAAUGACAUAGGCUUCGACCACCUUAAGAGAAGAUAGCAAAGAAGGACCCUUAUGAAGAUAGUAAUGAGUGAUGGUUCCUCUUUAAAAUGUUUGAUAAAUGUGUGAUAUUGUCAUGGAAUAGAAACAUUACAUGUUUCCCUUGCUUUAUAAACUUUGGAAGUGAAUUUGGUUUUGUUUUAUGUCCAAAACUAGGUUGAAGUAUGGUCUUUAGGAGAAAAACUUGGUAUUUACCAUAUGCAUGAAUUUAGGGAAAAUAAAUAUUAGAAUGACUUAGUUUUCGUUGAUGAUUUUCAGUUUCAGAAUGACUUAGUUUUUCAUUGACGAUUUUCAGUGUUAAAGUGAUUUAGCUUUCAUUAAUAAUUUUCAGUGUCAAAAUGACUCAGUUUUAAUGACAAUUUUAAUGUCAUAAUGAUAUAAUUUUAGUAGAUAGCCUUCAUUAAAAUUAGAGAUGAAUGUCUUGUUACAAUAUUAUCACUGUAAAAUUAUACAAACAUGGGAGAUAUUUGAAUGAAUGUAUAUGUGUUCUGGUAUAUGUGUGGAAAUGGUCUUUGACAUUACCUAAAUAAAAAUGUACUAAGUAAUGGUCAUUUUGUGUAUCAGAAAGCGCAAUCGGGAUCAGAUCUUCGACCAGGCAAGGACAUACUACGGGAGGGGCAGAUAGUUAGUUUCCACCUUUAACUAAUUAUUAUUAAAUCCUCAAAGUAUUUAUACAUAAUGUUGCUACCCGAUUUCAAUCAAUUAAAAUUACUCAUGAAACACAAUGAAUAAUGAUGUGAUUAACUUUAGCUAAUGGUAUCCAUAUUGGAUAACUAGGAUAAAAUGAUGUGAUUAGCUUUGGCUAAUGGUAUCCAUAUUGGAUAACCGGGAUUCAUUGAUGAGAUUAACUUCAGUUAAUGGUAUCCAUGUUGGAUACUAGAAAUGAAUGACAAGAUUAGCUUCGGCUAACGGUAUUCAUGUCGAGAAGCUGGGAAUGAAUGAUGAGAUUAACUUCGGCUAAUGGUAUCCAUGUUGGGUAGUCGGGAAUGAAUGAUAAGAUUAGUUUUUCCUAAUGGAAUCCAUGUUGGAUAGCUGCGAAUAAGCAUUGAAGAUUAGCUUUGGCUAAUGAUAUCUAUGUUGGAUAGCUAGGAGUAAAGGAUGAGGAUAACUCCAGUUAAUGGGCUUCAUAUUAGGGUUACCGAUAAAAAAAAGAGUAUGAUGUGUUAUUCACAAUCGAAAUUAAUGUUUAAAGAACCAUAUACAAAAUUAAUCAUAGUUAGGAAUGAAUAGUUAUGUAUGGAAGAAUCCUAUAUGUACAACGAUUCCUAGACCAUAAUACAUGUCAUCAAUUGUUUGUUGAACAUAGCUCAAAUAAAAUAAUAUGAUAUAAGGUUGUAUGAAGAUGUGGAAUAAAAUAUUAAAGAUAGCUCGGUAGAAAGAUAUUAAUAGCUGAAUUUGUUGGCAAUCAAAUGGGUUUGCCAGAAUUAUUGGCAUCUGCGAGGGGAUGACCAGAUUAUACUUAGUGGCCAUAAUAUCGACAACUAAGAAUGAGAUAGGACUGAUACUUAGUGGCUGCAGUGUUAGUGACUACGGGUAAGAAAGGAAUGAUACUUAAUGACCGUAGUAUCAGUGACUAUGAACAAGAUAUAAAUUGAUAGUUGACGAUUAAUUACUAAUAUCUAUGAAUAUGACAACUUUUUAUGUUUAGUUUCCCAAAAGAAUGAUGACCAAGGAAGAAAAGUAUGAUUUGUUUAAUUAUAAGAUGAUGAUGUAGAUUCUCCUUUCCCCGUGCUUCUAUUUAAGUUGACAAGUCCUUUAAAUUAAAUUAUGGGCAACAAAAGUUACUUCCUAAUUGUCCCUAAUAAAAAAGGAAUUCAUGUGGUUGUCUUUAUUUUGAAUGGAAACCAUUAUAUUGUUGUUUCCAAUGAGUAGUGACACGAUCAAAGAGUUGAUGUCUUAUCCCAAGUACAGGAGUGUCAAAGUAAUAAAUAACCCGGCAGGACCAGGGUCGAACCACAGGGAGAUGAACUAUAUAAAUUAUAAAUAAUAAUAAUAAUAAUAAUAAUAAUAACAACAACAACAACAAAAACAACAACAAUGAUGAUGAUGAUGGUGAUGAUGGGUUAAAGAGGACUUUGAGAUGUAAGAUUAAUGUGAAGAUUAAUCAUGCAACCAUAUUAUUUGAUAGUUUCACCCACAUUUAACUAGUGAUUUGCCUAUGUUUUAUAUAUAAAAUGCAUUGAUAUUCUUUGUUUUAUGUUUUGAAGGCACUUUUGGAUAAAAGAUGCAAAAAGGAGUAAAUUGGAGGUAAUUGGCAGAUUUGACGUUCAGUCGAUGUUUUGUGCAGAGCGUGAGUUCUAGAGAUCGAAAUGAAGUGAUUCCAGUGGCACUAAAAAGCUAACAUCCAUACCUUUCUGGAAAUGUAAUGCAAGAAAAAUAAAAAGAGAAAGAUCAUGGAAAUCACAUCCUGCAAAGUCAAAUCUCGCAUUCUGCCAAUGUUGACCUUUGGCC
rnacentral:lncRNA from 1 species